rnacentral:rRNA from 1 species
GAUGAACGCUGGCGGCGUGCCUAAUACAUGCAAGUCGAGCGAAUGGAUUAAGAGCUUGCUCUUAUGAAGUUAGCGGCGGACGGGUGAGUAACACGUGGGUAACCUGCCCAUAAGACUAGGAUAACUCCGGGAAACCGGGGCUAAUACCGGAUAACAUUUUGAACCGCAUGGUUCGAAAUUGAAAGGCGGCUUCGGCUGUCACUUAUGGAUGAAACCGGGUCGGAUUAGCUAGUGGGUGGGGUAACGGCUCACAAAGGCAACGAUGCGUAGCCGACCUGAGAGGGUGAUCGGCCACACUGGGACUGAGACACGGCCCAGACUCCUACGGGAGGCAGCAGUAGGGAAUCUUCCGCAAUGGACGAAGGUCUGACGGAGCAACGCCGCGUGAGUGAUGAAGGCUUUCGGGUCGUAAAACUCUGUUGUUAGGGAAGAACAAGUGCUAGUUGAAUAAGCUGGCACCUUGACGGUACCUAACCAGAAAGCCACGGCUAACUACGUGCCAGCCGCCGCCGUAA